UUAAGUUAUUAAGGGCGCACGGUGGAUGCCUUGGCACUAGAAGCCGAUGAAGGACGUUACUAACGACGAUAUGCUUUGGGGAGCUGUAAGUAAGCUUUGAUCCAGAGAUUUCCGAAUGGGGAAACCCAGCAUGAGUUAUGUCAUGUUAUCGAUAUGUGAAUACAUAGCAUAUCAGAAGGCACACCCGGAGAACUGAAACAUCUUAGUACCCGGAGGAAGAGAAAGAAAAUUCGAUUCCCUUAGUAGCGGCGAGCGAAACGGGAAGAGCCCAAACCAACAAGCUUGCUUGUUGGGGUUGUAGGACACUCUAUACGGAGUUACAAAGGACGACAUUAGACGAAUCAUCUGGAAAGAUGAAUCAAAGAAGGUAAUAAUCCUGUAGUCGAAAAUGUUGUCUCUCUUGAGUGGAUCCUGAGUACGACGGAGCACGUGAAAUUCCGUCGGAAUCUGGGAGGACCAUCUCCUAAGGCUAAAUACUCUCUAGUGACCGAUAGUGAACCAGUACCGUGAGGGAAAGGUGAAAAGCACCCCGGAAGGGGAGUGAAAUAGAACCUGAAACCGUGUGCUUACAAGUAGUCAGAGCCCGUUAAUGGGUGAUGGCGUGCCUUUUGUAGAAUGAACCGGCGAGUUACGAUUUGAUGCAAGGUUAAGCAGUAAAUGUGGAGCCGUAGCGAAAGCGAGUCUGAAUAGGGCGUUUAGUAUUUGGUCGUAGACCCGAAACCAGGUGAUCUACCCUUGGUCAGGUUGAAGUUCAGGUAACACUGAAUGGAGGACCGAACCGACUUACGUUGAAAAGUGAGCGGAUGAACUGAGGGUAGCGGAGAAAUUCCAAUCGAACCUGGAGAUAGCUGGUUCUCUCCGAAAUAGCUUUAGGGCUAGCCUCAAGUGAUGAUUAUUGGAGGUAGAGCACUGUUUGGACGAGGGGCCCCUCUCGGGUUACCGAAUUCAGACAAACUCCGAAUGCCAAUUAAUUUAACUUGGGAGUCAGAACAUGGGUGAUAAGGUCCGUGUUCGAAAGGGAAACAGCCCAGACCACCAGCUAAGGUCCCAAAAUAUAUGUUAAGUGGAAAAGGAUGUGGCGUUGCCCAGACAACUAGGAUGUUGGCUUAGAAGCAGCCAUCAUUUAAAGAGUGCGUAAUAGCUCACUAGUCGAGUGACACUGCGCCGAAAAUGUACCGGGGCUAAACAUAUUACCGAAGCUGUGGAUUGUCCUUUGGACAAUGGUAGGAGAGCGUUCUAAGGGCGUUGAAGCAUGAUCGUAAGGACAUGUGGAGCGCUUAGAAGUGAGAAUGCCGGUGUGAGUAGCGAAAGACGGGUGAGAAUCCCGUCCACCGAUUGACUAAGGUUUCCAGAGGAAGGCUCGUCCGCUCUGGGUUAGUCGGGUCCUAAGCUGAGGCCGACAGGCGUAGGCGAUGGAUAACAGGUUGAUAUUCCUGUACCACCUAUAAUCGUUUUAAUCGAUGGGGGGACGCAGUAGGAUAGGCGAAGCGUGCGAUUGGAUUGCACGUCUAAGCAGUAAGGCUGAGUAUUAGGCAAAUCCGGUACUCGUUAAGGCUGAGCUGUGAUGGGGAGAAGACAUUGUGUCUUCGAGUCGUUGAUUUCACACUGCCGAGAAAAGCCUCUAGAUAGAAAAUAGGUGCCCGUACCGCAAACCGACACAGGUAGUCAAGAUGAGAAUUCUAAGGUGAGCGAGCGAACUCUCGUUAAGGAACUCGGCAAAAUGACCCCGUAACUUCGGGAGAAGGGGUGCUCUUUAGGGUUAACGCCCAGAAGAGCCGCAGUGAAUAGGCCCAAGCGACUGUUUAUCAAAAACACAGGUCUCUGCUAAACCGUAAGGUGAUGUAUAGGGGCUGACGCCUGCCCGGUGCUGGAAGGUUAAGAGGAGUGGUUAGCUUCUGCGAAGCUACGAAUCGAAGCCCCAGUAAACGGCGGCCGUAACUAUAACGGUCCUAAGGUAGCGAAAUUCCUUGUCGGGUAAGUUCCGACCCGCACGAAAGGCGUAACGAUUUGGGCACUGUCUCAACGAGAGACUCGGUGAAAUCAUAGUACCUGUGAAGAUGCAGGUUACCCGCGACAGGACGGAAAGACCCCGUGGAGCUUUACUGUAGCCUGAUAUUGAAAUUCGGCACAGCUUGUACAGGAUAGGUAGGAGCCUUUGAAACGUGAGCGCUAGCUUACGUGGAGGCGCUGGUGGGAUACUACCCUAGCUGUGUUGGCUUUCUAACCCGCACCACUUAUCGUGGUGGGAGACAGUGUCAGGCGGGCAGUUUGACUGGGGCGGUCGCCUCCUAAAAGGUAACGGAGGCGCUCAAAGGUUCCCUCAGAAUGGUUGGAAAUCAUUCAUAGAGUGUAAAGGCAUAAGGGAGCUUGACUGCGAGACCUACAAGUCGAGCAGGGUCGAAAGACGGACUUAGUGAUCCGGUGGUUCCGCAUGGAAGGGCCAUCGCUCAACGGAUAAAAGCUACCCCGGGGAUAACAGGCUUAUCUCCCCCAAGAGUUCACAUCGACGGGGAGGUUUGGCACCUCGAUGUCGGCUCAUCGCAUCCUGGGGCUGUAGUCGGUCCCAAGGGUUGGGCUGUUCGCCCAUUAAAGCGGUACGCGAGCUGGGUUCAGAACGUCGUGAGACAGUUCGGUCCCUAUCCGUCGUGGGCGUAGGAAAUUUGAGAGGAGCUGUCCUUAGUACGAGAGGACCGGGAUGGACAUACCUCUGGUGUACCAGUUGUCGUGCCAACGGCAUAGCUGGGUAGCUAUGUGUGGACGGGAUAAGUGCUGAAAGCAUCUAAGCAUGAAGCCCCCCUCAAGAUGAGAUUUCCCAACUUCGGUUAUAAGAUCCCUCAAAGAUGAUGAGGUUAAUAGGUUCGAGGUGGAAGCAUGGUGACAUGUGGAG
rnacentral:rRNA from 2 species